AUACAUAUAUGGAUAGGCCAUGUGAGUUAGGGGUUUUAUCAUUUUGAAGUCAAAUAAAAUAUCUAAGGGAGAGGGAGAGAGAGAACCGUGAAAGAGAGAUAGAGAGGGAAAGAGGAUCAUCCAUGGAAGCUUGGAAAAUUGAAGAGAUUAAAGUGGAAAAACAAGGAAUUAAGUUAAGGUCGAAACGAGGACACCGUCCCAUUGCUACCGGGAGCCGAUCACUUGGUAAACAAACAUUUAUGACGAUUGGAAAUCAGUGUGAACUUAUAUGAACAUUGAAAGAUUUGCGCACAUCGGUAUGACUUUGGAAUCCUUUUGUUCUGUCAAUAACAAAUAUUAACCCUCUAUUAUUUAUCAGCAUACUACGUUACUUCUUAAAGAAUAA